rnacentral:rRNA from 1 species
UCGGGGAAUUUUGGGCAAUGGGGGAAACCCUGACCCAGCAACGCCGCGUGAAGGAUGAAGUAUUUCGGUAUGUAAACUUCGAAAGAAUAGGAAGAAUAAAUGACGGUACUAUUUAUAAGGUCCGGCUAACUACGUGCCAGCAGCCGCGGUAAUACGUAGGGACCAAGCGUUGUUCGGAUUUACUGGGCGUAAAGGGCGCGUAGGCGGCAUGACAAGUCACUUGUGAAAUCUCUGGGCUUAACCCAGAACGGCCAAGUGAUACUGUCGCGCUAGAGUGCAGAAGGGGCAAUCGGAAUUCUUGGUGUAGCGGUGAAAUGCGUAGAUAUCAAGAGGAACACCUGAGGUGAAGACGGGUUGCUGGGCUGACACUGACGCUGAGGCGCGAAAGCCAGGGGAGCAAACGGGAUUAGAUACCCUUGUAGUCCCUGAGCGGGCUGGCAAGGCGCAU